GACAGAGGGUGCAAACGUUGUUCGGAAUUACUGGGCGUAAAGCGCACGUAGGCGGCUUUCUAAGUCGGGGGUGAAAUCCUGGAGCUCAACUCCAGAACUGCCUUCGAUACUGGAGAGCUUGAGUCCGGGAGAGGGUGAGUGGAACUGCGAGUGUAGAGGUGAAAUUCGUAGAUAUUCGCAAGAACACCAGUGGCGAAGGCGGCUCACUGGCCCGGUACUGACGCUGAGGUGCGAAAGCGUGGGGAGCAAACAGG
rnacentral:rRNA from 1 species